GCACUGCUGAGGAGUCCCAUACUAGGAUGAAACGUUCGUCCAGUGC
rfam:Schistosoma margrebowiei strain Zambia genome assembly, scaffold: SMRZ_contig0004047